rnacentral:sRNA from 2 species
GCCAUAAUGAAAAACACUGAACGAAAUUCAGGCCGCAAAACAAUAUAAACAGGAAAGGAAAUUUGCCUCAUCUACUGCCCACCAACACCACCAGGAAAACGCCGGAAAUCAAGGGCAAAAAGCUAUACUUACCUGCACCAAUAUCUUCAAAGAAGCCAACGAACCAAAUCAAUCCAGACUUUUAGACCCUACAAAAGAGUUCCAACUUGAAAUUUCCUAGAUUUACGGAGUACUGAUACCUAUGCCAAAGUUAUCUUGGGGUUGACUGGUGCAGGUUGUCGUCGUGUGGCUCAAAGUUGUCGUCCAUAUAUACAUGAGGUUUAAUGAAAAAGGAUGCCAUCGCUAUUAAAAAUAAUGUAGCGACUUGGCACAUAAAUACAGCUUGUGGUAGCGUACCGACGGUUGAGCUGUAUAUCAAGUUGAAAAUUGUCGGCGCCACCACGCGCGCAAGUGCAUGAAGCAGACCAAGCGCACCUAGCAGCUGGCCGGUCCUAUUAGCGGGGAUAUGCUUCGUCAACGAGGACGUGAGCGUUGGCGAAGCCAUUGCACUCAUCGAUGCGAACGCGCCGGAGAGGAGCAGCAGCCCACCAGUCCGAACAGUGCAGUACCCGAGAUAUCCGAUCAGAUCGAUCAUCGUAGAUAUCCUGAUUAUGAUUAUAUCCAGCAUAUCGGAGCCAGUGUUGACCCGACUCCUUUGGCUAAGCGGGCCACGGACCAGACGAGUUAUUGUUGGAAGAGCCACAAGUAGCAUAACCACUCGGACAGAGCUGGCUACGGACACAAAUAUGCUAGACUCAAAAUUGCCCCAGUCGAACAUGUACUCGGAAUAAAUCACAAUGAUCGACAUAGUCCCCAUCCCGACGCCGAAGAGAACAGCGUCCAUGGAUGCAAGGAUUAUGAGAUUAAUUCGUAAUUCGCGAAGGGAGCGUCUGCCGAGUGAGCUCGUGGAGCUUGGGAACAGGAUAGAGAGGGGCUUCAAGAGAUUCAACGGAUUAAAAUCCCCUCGCGACCAGGAAGGAACUUGACGGAACUUGAGAGGGCCUAUCCCUUGACUCUUGCGAUUAGCCAAUUGGCGAGCUUCCGACAGUGACUCUGGCACAGCGAAAAGCAUAAAUAGGAUGAAGAAUAGCAGGCAACCUAAGACGGAAUAGAAUAGGUAAAGGAUAUUGCCCGUCCACUUGAUGAGAUAUCCAGCAAGCAAGGGACCCAGAGCAAUGCCACCAAAUAAAACGCCAUAGAAAUAUCCGAAUGCUACGUUUCUGUUAUGUGGCGGUACGCAAUCUGCCGCGUAUGACUGAGUAAGAGCUACCGCUGUCGUGAAGGAUCCAAACAAUCCAUCAAACAUCGCUGCUAGGAGCAAAAUAUUGACCGAUAUCCUACCAUCUUGAGCCGCCACCAUCGCCAUGACAAGUUGGCCGAGAAACAUGCCAAAUCCCGAGAGGGCAAUGAUCUUAGUUCUGCCAUAACCAUCGGUUAGAGUCCCAAGUCUCGGGCUUGUGAUGGCUGCGAGGAUACCAGAUAUUAAGUUCAGUUGCAGUUGAAGUCUCGAGGCUCGGGAUUGGAUCUCGGGAAUCCGACAUUGCGGGUUCGUAUCUCCAAAGAUGACGGGAGCAAAAGUAAAGGUAGGAUCUUCUAUCGCCCUGUCGGAUAGAUAUUGGCGGCAAAUCAAUGUCAAGGCGAGAUUUAUCUGCGGCACGACGACUCCCCCGAAUGCAAUCGUGAAUGGGAAAAGUGGAGGUAGUACCCAGAAUAUCUACCCGAAAUCCAGAUGAAUAUAAAAAUAAUUAAUAGAUUAGUAUAGAAGGCAACGGGAGAAGGUGCUGUACUGGGCCGUAAGUACCGGUAACCUCCACUGCUCUUCUGCCACCCAAAGGAACCAUGAUUGUGGUGGGGGUUUUCCAAUACUUAUGGCCUGGCACUGUAUAUAAAAACGCCAAAAGGGAUAUGCUCACAGAAGGACGUUUCCACCACGGUUUGCGGUCAUUUUCCUCCUCCAACAGUGCAUCCUGAGUUCCGUCCUGAUUGCUUGAAUUGCCGCUCUCGACCAAUUGCGAUGUUGGGAUAUCAUUGUCCACGAGCAGUCUGGUGGUUUCUGUUGGCACAGCAGGGCUCGCGGUCCGUGACCUAGACAUAGAGUGGGGCCUCGCAGAACAAAGCGAGGAAGCGGAAGAAGCUACCCAUUGGACUGGCUCAUCUCCUUCUACUGCAAACGUAGUCUCCGCUUCCAUUGGCGUGGAAGGAACCGAUUCGGGUCAGGGAUAACGGAGCAGGACUGAGGAGGGUCUCGGCGCAUCAAGCUCAGUGAUAGGUCGAGGAUAAUAAUUCCUUAGCAGGAAAAUCCACAGCACCAAUCUUCUCACAACAAUCCCAGGGGAAUAUAUAUAGAUAUAUGCAUGUAUGUAUAUGUAUGGAGAGCUUGUGAUUGUUUUCCGGUGGAUAUAGGCUCCGUCAGAGUGCCAUGUUUAUUGAAUGAACUAUGAGGAAUGCCAGGUCAUGAUACUUGUAGGAAUACCGAGCUGGCGGACUCUCCAAGAAACCCC